rnacentral:tRNA from 1 species
GUUAAUGUAGCUUAAUAAAAAGCAAAGCACUGACAAUGCUUAGAUGGAUAAUUUUAUCCCAUAAACA